rnacentral:rRNA from 1 species
GACGAACGCUGGCGGCGUGCCUAAUACAUGCAAGUAGAACGCUGAAGGAGGAGCUUGCUUCUCUGGAUGAGUUGCGAACGGGUGAGUAACGCGUAGGUAACCUGCCUGGUAGCGGGGGAUAACUAUUGGAAACGAUAGCUAAUACCGCAUAACAGUAGAUAUCGCAUGAUAGCUGCUUGAAAGGUGCAAUUGCACCACUACCAGAUGGACCUGCGUUGUAUUAGCUAGUUGGUGAGGUAACGGCUCACCAAGGCGACGAUACAUAGCCGACCUGAGAGGGUGAUCGGCCACACUGGGACUGAGACACGGCCCAGACUCCUACGGGAGGCAGCAGUAGGGAAUCUUCGGCAAUGGACGGAAGUCUGACCGAGCAACGCCGCGUGAGUGAAGAAGGUUUUCGGAUCGUAAAGCUCUGUUGUAAGAGAAGAACGAGUGUGAGAGUGGAAAGUUCACACUGUGACGGUAUCUUACCAGAAAGGGACGGCUAACUACGUGCCAGCAGCCGCGGUAAUACGUAGGUCCCGAGCGUUGUCCGGAUUUAUUGGGCGUAAAGCGAGCGCAGGCGGUUAGAUAAGUCUGAAGUUAAAGGCUGUGGCUUAACCAUAAUACGCUUUGGAAACUGUUUAACUUGAGUGCAGGAGGGGAGAGUGGAAUUCCAUGUGUAGCGGUGAAAUGCGUAGAUAUAUGGAGGAACACCGGUGGCGAAAGCGGCUCUCUGGCUUGUAACUGACGCUGAGGCUCGAAAGCGUGGGGAGCAAACAGG